CCAUAGGCUAUGAUGGAGAACAAGGAUAUUUCUUUUGAUUUAAGAGAUCUGCCGGGCGGUGAAAGGCAGCACGAAGAUUAUCAAACUCGCUCCUGAGCCUGCAACCGAAAGUAUUUAUUAGGCUUGCACGGCUUCCACCGUUAAAGGGAACAGCAUAUUAUUAUGCGCGGCAUACUAUGUAUGCCGAAUAAGCUGGGUGUUAAACUAAUUAGAGUGGUACCGCGGAAGUGAGCCUUUCGUCUCUUAC
rnacentral:ncRNA from 1 species